GAAAUGCGAUAAGUAGUGUGAAUUGCAGAAUUCAGUGAAUCAUCGAAUCUUUGAACGCACAUUGCGCCCUUUGGUAUUCCUUAGGGCAUGCCUGUUCGAGCGUCAUCUAAACCUUCAAGCCCUGCUUGGUGUUGGGUGCCUGUCCCGCCUCCGCGCGCGGACUCACCUCAAAUCCAUUGGCGGCCCCCGCGUCGGCCACGAGCGCAGCAGAAACGCGAACUCGUGGGCCCGUCCGGGCGGCUCCCAGAAGCUACACCCACCCAGUUUGACCUCGGAUCAGGUAGGGAUACCCGCUGAACUUAAGC
rnacentral:misc_RNA from 1 species